UCCUCUCUUCUUCUUCAUCUUCAAUUUCAGAUCUAUUCUUCUGCAUCUCAAAUUAGCAGAGCACCUCCAAUUGGGUACUAGCUACUAUGAUUUGUUCACGGCACACUCUUCUUCUCAUCCUCCCUCUCCCUCAAUCCCUAAUUUUCAUAUUGUCUCUGAUGAAAUAGAAAUGGCACACUCGACUUGUCUUCACUCCAGAUCUGCUCGGUCGACAAAUCUCUCUCUCUCUCUCUCUCCCCCCCCUCCUCCCUCCCUCCCUCCCUCACUGGCUCUCUCUCCGCCCCUCCCUCUCCCUUUCUCUUUUCUCAGUUUUCUCAAAUGUCAAGACCAGCUCAACUGCCAAGAUUGAGAGGUGUAGUUCUGCAUAGUGUUAUACUUUCUGGUCUUCGCGUACUCUGCCAUGUAAGUUCACACUUUGCUUCGACAUCUACAGGGUAAGUUCCUAUCCUCCUUGCUUGCAAUGGUUUCAUGCCGGCCAACCAAAUAAUCUACUUGGUGUUUUAUGUUGUUGCUAGUAUUAGGUAAAUAUAGCUCCCCUAAUCUUUCAUGUCUCUAUGUAUUAUGAAUAUCUCAGUUGCAAUUUUAUAUUAUCCAAAGCUCUAGUUUUGCAGAAUAUAAACAAAAUCCGAAAAGUAAAGUCCCCUGUGCUAGUGAUACAUGUAAGUAAUCCCUAAUAUUAUAUUUGAUAUCUUAGGAUUAAGGUAUACCUCUUUUUUGUCUUCCUUUUAGAUUAAGUAAUAGACGGGAGUAUUAGUAAAAAUUAACUGGUUCAAUUUGAUGAUUGGUGUCCAGGUCAAGGUGCCAAAAGCGUCAAGCAGGUGACUUUGUUAAAGCUAUUCCCAAAAGUACGUAUAAUGCCCGGUGAUUUUGAAUCACCCUUUUAGUGCCAGACUUACCAUACUACUAUGUUAAUUUAGGUUUUGAUCAGGAAUACACCAAAGGAAAAUAUCCAGCAGAAAAACUGGAAUAAAAAAUUCAAGAGCAUGUGAGGCUGGAUAGUAAAUGUUUCUCAUUUUUUCCCCUUAUUCUUCUUUUUUGCAUCUGAGAAUGCAGACUUGUUAUUUUAUAUAAUUUUUUUUUGUAUAUAAUCUUUUGCUUCUGCAUGGUUGAGAGGCAAGUGGCUCUACAGAUAAUUGCAAGCUGUUUUGCGAAUUCUUAACUUAUAUUUUGAUGCAUUGCUGCUAAGUACAAAAUCUGUAUGAAGAGCUUACGGCACUGGUUUAUACAGCAUAUGAAUUUUGAUUUCCGUGAUUUAUCUUUUAGGCAAGCAAUCGAGCAUUUCCUUGAAUCUCAAAAUCAGUUCUCUAUUUCAGAGUAUGCAUUGCAGAGACUUGCCCCUGAUGAAGAAUCUAGAGUCCAGGCUAAAGAUCUCUCUAGUGCUGUGACAUCAAAUAUAGACCUCUGACCUGACUCAUCAUUCUCCAAAUCUUACUUAUUGACUAACACAACAUACCAUGCAAUAUCUUCUUGCUUAUAAAUAUAUUUCCAAACUUCUAGGCAACCUUCAUUUGUUUUUACUUGGUCGUUCCCUGGUAACUGUCUUCCUCUAUUUUAGAUAUCAAAUCUUUUUAUCUUCUAUAAUUACUCACUUCAACUUCUUACUUUUGUGUUCAGGUGCAAAGUCCAUUCUUCUUCUAAAUAUUCAAAGCAGC